GAACUCUGAUCUCGUAAUUUACAACUGUUUAUAACUAUUUAUGGAUGUUAGUGAGAUAAAAAGUACCUGAACGUAUUUUGAAUGAGGUAUAGAAGCAUAGGGGGUAGGGUUGUAAGCCUUAUUAUUUUUAUGUUUAAGCUCCUCUGUAGGACUUGCAAUAAGUAUAUCACUUCGGAUACAAAUUUUCUAAAGUUUUACUAUACAAAUCGUUUUUUAUCAUUCGUGUUCUACAUUUAAAAAAAUAGUUGGAGAGACUCCUACUUCCUAUUAAAAAGUUCUACGCUUAAACUUUAUAACAUAAUUAAUAAUAUAUAGAGAGAGAUAUAUAUAGAUAUGAUAGUUUCUGCCUUUUUUUCUUUGUUUUGGUAUAAACUAAUACAUUGAAUUCCUUAUUAAUAACUAUAGAAACAGACAUCAAUAAGUAUAUAUUCAUAUGGCAAAUACAAUUGUUAAGCUACUCAUAUAGUUAGCAGAAUUACUAAUUUCUUUGUAAUAUGCACUUUUUAUGAAAUUAUUAUUAUUAUUACAAGAAACCGAGAAUUUGUUGAACUGUUUGUAUAUAUGGCAUUAAUAAUGUUGUCUUUAUAUUUUCCAGUAUAUUUUUUUUUCAUGCUAUAUAUUUGAUUGAAAUCAAAGUCUAAGUGUGGAUUGUAUCAUGAUUUUGAGAGUAUUUUCAGUGUAACAUGAAACAUUUGUAUUAACUUUAGGCGUUACUCAAAAAUUAGUUGUGUAUUACAUGUCGCAUGCUACUUGAAUUGUUGUCUUUUGCAGAUAGGUGAGAUGUAUAUAUGAUGAAGUAUUGUUGAAAUUCAAAAAUACAGUGCUGUUGAACCAUUUGAUGUUCGAAACCCGUUUGGUUUGAUAGUUAGAAAAUUCGAAACUUUUUCCCGUACAAAACCAAACAUUUUUAUCUAGGUUUCUAUCAUUCAGUUUCCAGAGAAAGUGAAAUGGAAACCCUGUAUCAUUUAGUUCAAAACAAGUCUAAUUAACUAAAGAGUCCAUAAAUUGCGAUCGUUUAUCUUCACUCUGUGUUUUGUAACUGUUCGUACGUCUGUUUAAAGUCUAGAUAAAGAGAAGUUCUUAUUAGACUUUUAUAAUUUUUUUUAUCUUCAAAUAAAACAUUUGGUGAUAUCCAAUGCUGGCACAUUGGAUUUAUAAAGAGGUGGGGGUACGUGUUUGCUGUUUGAUUCCGAAUAAUUUUCCUGCCAUUCUGGUAAAUCAUAAUUAUGUUUGAUAUGAAUGAAAAUCCACCCACACCCUCCCUCUAUUUGUGGUAAAUACGUUCAUUUUUUUACCCCAUACUCAUGGGAAAAGAUCAAAGACAAAUAAAUAAAAUUGUCCUUAAACAUUUUUUAGAAUAUAUUUCUUUAAAUUAGUUCCGAUUUUCUCUGUCAAUUGAGACUGUAGAUUGUAUUAUUUAAAUGUCAAGGUUAUGACUUCUAAAUAUAUGCCGGAAAAUAGGAGCAGAAAAUUAACCUUCUUGCGUUUUUUAAAUCAAUUUAAGGUCUUGCAUUGAUACGCUGGAGUAGAAUAGCAUUUUUUAAAGUAGUGAUAAGAUCUAAGCACAAUUCUGAGUCUCGGCCUUUAUAAAUAUAGGACAAACCAACAUGAUUUACUAUUAAUUCGUUAUUAUUUUUGCAUUUUUAACGAAACCGCAUUGAAUUUCAAAUAUUUCCGAUAGAUGGCCACUUCGAACAGAAUAAGCACAUUUAAUUUCAAUGGCUACAAAUUUCUAUCUUUAAUUACUCAUACGUCUUCCAUUGAUUUUUUUUUUUAAUCUAGAUCAGAAGUUCAGUUUUUGUGGUUAUUAUUAGCAAGAGUUUUAAGAAACAUGAAAAUAUUCAAUGUGCAUUACACGUGAAUCUAAGUUGCCAUAAUACAUCACACACUGAUUUUUUUUUAUAGUUCUUAUACAAAGUAGUGGUUAAUAUGCCAGGCUGCGGGUCCAAAGUUCGAGACCGCGAUAUGCCGCUGAACAGGCUGCAUACUUUCAGCCGUGAGUGUAUUAUGAACUUGAUAGUUACCGUCUGAAUAUUGAAGUCUUUAGUCUAGCCGUUUAGCUCAUGUGUCGCUUGAAGUGCCGUUUAAUUCACGUGUCGCAUGAGGUGCCGUUUAGCUCACGUGUCGCAUAAUGUACCGUUUAGCUCACGUGUCGCACAACAUACCGUUUAGCUCACGUGUCGCAUGAAGUGCCGUUUAACUCAAGUGUCGCAUGAGGUGCCGUUUAGCUCACGUGUCGCAUAACGUACCGUUUAGCUCACUUGUCGCAUGAAGUGCCAUUUAGCUCACGUGUCGCAUGAAGUGCCGUUCAAGCCGAAAAUACCAAACAUUUUAAUGAAACUCUAAUUAGAGUUACUGGGUACUUUAGUAAGAUCAGGUGUUUAGAACGAUUCAGUGAAGACGUUAUAGCGUUAACUAGGUUUCAUUUGCUGGCUGCUGUUAACUUUUGUUAUGUGGCAUUAUAGAUAUUAGAGAUGAUCAGUCUAUCAAACUACUAAACAUGUAGUGUCAAAACUGUAAAUAAAGUUUUUGAAAAUGUA
rnacentral:lncRNA from 1 species